GCUUAACCGAGGAAGCGCAUCGGAAACUGGGAAACUUGAGUGCAGAAGAGGACAGUGGAACUCCAUGUGUAGCGGUGAAAUGUGUAGAUAUAUGGAAGAACACCAGUGGCGAAGCCGGCUGUCUGGUCUGUAACUGACGCUGAGGCUCGAAAGCAUGGGUAGCGAACAGGAUUAGAUACCCUGGUAGUCCAUGCCGUAAACGAUGAAUGCUAGGUGUUGGAGGGUUUCCGCCCUUCAGUGCCGCAGCUAACGCAUUAAGCAUUCCGCCUGGGGAGUACGACCGCAAGGUUGAAACUCAAAGGAAUUGACGGGGGCCCGCACAAGCGGUGGAGCAUGUGGUUUAAUUCGAAGCAACGCGAAGAACCUUACCAGGUCUUGACAUCUUUUGAUCACCUGAGAGAUCAGGUUUCCCCUUCGGGGGCAAAAUGACAGGUGGUGCAUGGUUGUCGUCAGCUCGUGUCGUGAGAUGUUGGGUUAAGUCCCGCAACGAGCGCAACCCUUAUGACUAGUUGCCAGCAUUUAGUUGGGCACUCUAGUAAGACUGCCGGUGACAAACCGGAGGAAGGUGGGGAUGACGUCAAAUCAUCAUGCCCCUUAUGACCUGGGCUACACACGUGCUACAAUGGAUGGUACAACG
rnacentral:rRNA from 1 species